CUUUCUGUACAGUACAUAAAAACAAUUAAGCAAUCAAGUUUAUUAGUCUGUAACCAUGAACUUAGACAUGUACUGUAGCCUACAGUGUGAAAUUGCAUUCCCUUUUAGGUUGGAUAGAUACAUGACACAGUUUGUCAUUUGCAUUUUUCUCUUUUACAGAUCUCUAUUUUCAUCGGUCAGCUUCCUACCAUUUUUUAUUGCAUUCAGAACAGAUGAGGUAUACCUGGAACUGAGACAUAGAAGCUGAUUUGGUAACUCGUAUGAUGAUGUUGAGACAAGUAAGCAGCUUGGCCCAUGUAUGCCAAUAUAAGAGCUGGAUAAACCAGAAAGAAUAAGAGAAGUGACCAAGAUCAGCAAACAUCGCCUCAGACCCUGCAUGGAUGGCAUUUAUUGGUUCGUCAGUUGUCACAAUGAGACAAACUCAAGGUAUUGGUAUUAGUUAUCCAUAUACAGCUACUUUUUGGGAAGACUUUCAGAUGGUCUAGUAAUGAUUUAGCUCGUAGAAGAAAGAAACGGAUAGAAUACAGAUUUAUUGUUAUCUGGCGUAUUGCUACUAUUAUAGCCUUGAAAAUUAAAGCAUGCUAGAUGUUCUACUCAAAAUGAUAGGAGUCCUUCCUUGAGCAUCAUGUGAGUAAAACUUUUGAAGUUACAAUCUAGUCAUAUCAACUUAUAUGGAUAUUCACUAGCAGGUUAAAUCUAUGAUAAAUGUUGAAAGGCUGCCCCACUUGCCAAAAAUACUAGAUCUACUAUCAUCAGAUAAUGAUUUAUCGACUGUGAAUUAACCUUUGGCAUGAGCAAAAAUAACUAAUGUCCCAGACAUGGAUUAUUUUGAGGAAGGAGAUUAUACUGAACCUAAAAACUGUGAUGUGUACAAAAGGUGCAAACCAACAUGAAAAUUUAUCUCAUGUAUGUACGUAAAUAUGUGUAAAUGUGUCUAUGUAUAUUGCAAAGUCACCUGUUAUGCAGAGCAGUAUGCCUCCCAAGGACAUCCAUCCACCUUUCCUUGUCUUCUUCAAGAACUUGAACAUGUAAUAUGGAGAGAGAGCUUGAUAGACAUGCGGGUUCCAGUAGAUUAUAUUAUAUAUCCCAAGGGAACUUAUGCAUAGUAGCCAUGUUAACACAAUCGGAGCAAAGAAAAAUCCGACUCUAUGCGUGCCAUAGUGUUGAAGAGCAAAAAGACACACCAAAAUGAAGCAAGUGAUUGGAAUAACUGCAUCUGUAAAUGAAGGCAAGAAAUUAAGAAGUGAUAGGAAAUUAGAGCAAACACAAGAAUUAACUAUGCAUAUGUUUAAACUAAGUAUAGCAACAGAUAAAAUUAGCCAUACCAUUGAAAUAAAACAGGAGUAAAUGUCUCUGUCUCCAAAACAAUUGACCAACAGAAUAUGUUUUAUUUCCACCUUAAGUUAUUGUAAAUCAUGCAGAAAAGCACGAUCAUGUACAGAAUUCUUUUCAGGAAUAUCACAACUUCAAUAUUUUCCUUUUUCUUUUACUUUACUUCACAAAAAGUAAAAAACUACCAAUUCAACCAUUCCAGCAAUCUUAUGAAACUACCAUUUCGAAAAACAGAUGGAAGAGGAACAGAUAAGAACAAAAGAAAGGAUAUGGUAAUUCCAGACCACAACAUGCUCUUGAAUGGUCCCAGCGGGCCGAUUGGUUUUUCUUCACUAACUACAAGCGAAUGACAAACAGAAGGAAGCACCAAGCUUAUUACUUAAUUAUUUUUGUUAAAUUUCAGGGUGUCAACUUCGCUUAAAAAGACAGCCAUGGUCCAUGGUUGAAAGUUAAUACAAACACCAUAGGCCUUAUACCUGUCUCCCUUGUUCUUGCCCUUUCUCCACAACAAGGGACAUGAAUGUCACUCCAAAUGCAAAUGGAAAUUGUUUAAUAAUCAGGAAAUUAAACCUGCUGUUUACACUCUUGCUUUACAAAAUACUCCCAAGUCAUUUUUAGUUAAUACAAAACGGAAGUUUGGCUCAAACAUAAUAUCAGAAACUCCAAUGCGACUGAAUAAGAGAGGAAGAUCAAAGCUAGCAACUUGAGGAGCUUACACUGGUGAUGUUCCUUGGACAUGGACAACUCAAGGCCAGACACAGCAGAGAAAACUGCAUAUAUAUUAAUUAGUCAGUGACUGAGAAAACUCAUUCGCAAAUUUAAGCAACUGACUGCUAAGAGGUUUACCAGAAAUUGCUGGAGUGAGAACUCCAUCUCCAAUUACCAUACAAGUACCAAGAAGAACCAA